rnacentral:rRNA from 1 species
AAAAUUGAACAAGGGGGGAAACCCUGAUGCCGCAACGCCGGGGGAGGGAAGAAGGCCUCCGGGUGGAAAAGCCCUUUCCUAAGGAAAGAAAGGGACGGUACCUAAGGAGGAAGCCCCGCUCACCACCGGGCAAGCAGCCGCGGUAAUACGUAGGGGGCGAGCGUUAUCCGGAAUUACUGGGCGUAAAGGGUGCGUAGGCGGCCUUUUAAGUCAGAUGUGAAAGGCUACGGCUUAACCGUAGUUAGCAUUUGAAACUAAAAGGCUUGAGUGCAGGAGAGGAGAGUGGAAUUCCUAGUGUAGCGGUGAAAUGCGUAGAUAUUAGGAGGAACACCAGUGGCGAAGGCGACUCUCUGGACUGCAACUGACGCUGAGGCACGAAAGCGUGGGGAGCGAAC